UACGGAGGGGACUAGCGUUGUUCGGAAUUACUGGGCGCAAAGCGCACGUAGGCGGAUUUGUAAGUCAGGGGUGAAAUCCCGGGGCUCAACCUCGGAACUGCCUUUGAUACUGCAAAUCUCGAGUCCGGAAGAGGUGAGUGGAAUUCCUAGUGUAGAGGUGAAAUUCGUAGAUAUUAGGAAGAACACCAGUGGCGAAGGCGGCUCACUGGUCCGGAACUGACGCUGAGGUGCGAAAGCGUGGGGAGCAAACAGG
rnacentral:rRNA from 1 species